GCCUUUGUGGUGUAGUGGUCAGCACGCUCGACGCGUAACCGAGAGGUCCGUGGUUCGAAUCCCGGCGAGGGCA
rnacentral:tRNA from 1 species